AAUCAACGCUGGCGGCGUGCCUCAGACAUGCAAGUCGAACGAUUAAAGCUCUCUUCGGAGAGUGUAUAGAGUGGCGCACGGGUGAGUAACACGUAAGUAAUCUACCCUCGAGUGGGGAAUAACAACCGGAAACGGUUGCUAAUACCGCAUAAUGCAGCGGCACCGCAAGGUGACAGUUGUUAAAGAUUUAUCGCUUGAGGAGGAGCUUGCGGCAGAUUAGCUAGUUGGUAGGGUAACGGCUUACCAAGGCUACGAUCUGUAACCGGUCUAAGAGGACGGUCGGUCACACUGACACUGAAUAACGGGUCAGACUCCUACGGGAGGCAGCAGUCGGGAAUUUUGGGCAAUGGGCGAAAGCCUGACCCAGCAACGCCGCGUGAAGGAUGAAGUAUUUCGGUAUGUAAACUUCGAAAGAAUAGGAAGAAUUAAUGUACGGUACUAUUUAUAAGGUCCGGCUAACUACGUGCCAGCAGCCGCGGUAAU
rnacentral:rRNA from 1 species